rnacentral:rRNA from 1 species
GAUGGUUGAUCCUGGCUCAGAACGAACGCUGCGCAUGCCUAACACAUGCAAGUCGAACGAAGGCUUCGGCUUUAGUGGCGCACGGGUGCGUAACGCGUGGAAUCUGCCUUUGGCUCCGAAAUAACAGUUAGAAAUGACUGCUAAUACCGGAUGAUGUCUUCGGACCAAAGAUUUAUCGCCCAAAGAUGAGCCCGCGUAGGAUUAGGUAGUUGGUGGGGUAAAGGCCUACCAAGCCGACGAUCCUUAGCUGGUCUGAGAGGAUGAUCAGCACACUGGGACUGAGACACGGCCCAGACUCCUACGGGAGGCAGCAGUGGGGAAUAUUGGACAAUGGCCGCAAGCCUGAUCCAGCAAUGCCGCGUGAGUGAUGAAGGCCUUCGGGUCGUAAAGCUCUUUUGCCCGGGAUGAUAAUGACAGUACCGGGAGAAUAAGCCCCGGCUAACUCCGUGCCAGCAGCCGCGGUAAUACGGAGGGGGCUAGCGUUGUUCGGAAUUACUGGGCGUAAAGCGCACGUAGGCGGCUACUCAAGUCAGAGGUGAAAGCCCGGGGCUCAACCCCGGAACUGCCUUUGAAACUAGGUGGCUAGAAUCUUGGAGAGGCGAGUGGAAUUCCGAGUGUAGAGGUGAAAUUCGUAGAUAUUCGGAAGAACACCAGUGGCGAAGGCGACUCGCUGGACAAGUAUUGACGCUGAGGUGCGAAAGCGUGGGGUACAAACAGGAUUAGAUACCCUGGUAGUCCACGCCGUAAACGAUAUAACUAGCUGUCCGGGCACAUGGUGUUUGGGUGGCGCAGCUAACGCAUUAAGUAUCCGC